GACGAACGCUGGCGGCGUGCUUAACACAUGCAAGUCGAACGAUGAAGAAGAGAAACGCGAACUUCGGUUCAAAUUUCACUUCGGAUUAGUGGCAGACGGGUGAGUAACGCGUGAGCAACCUACCUCUUACAAAGGGAUAGCCUCGGGAAACCGUGAUUAAUACCAUAUGACACCUUCAUAAGGCAUCUUAAGAAUGUUAAAGCUACGGCGGUAAGAGAUGGGCUCGCGUCCCAUUAGCUAGUUGGUGAGGUAACGGCCCACCAAGGCGACGAUGGGUAACCGGCCUGAGAGGGUGAACGGUCACAUUGGAACUGAGACACGGUCCAAACUCCUACGGGAGGCAGCAGUGGGGAAUAUUGCACAAUGGAGGGAACUCUGAUGCAGCGACGCCGCGUGGGCGAUGAAGGAAUUCGUUUCGUAAAGCUCUGUUCUAUGGGAAGAAAAGGACUGUACCAUAGGAGAAAGCCCCGGCUAAAUACGUG
rnacentral:rRNA from 1 species